ACAAAAACAUAAGUGGGGCUGAGGAACUUCACGCAGGAGUCUGAUUUGGCUCACUUGUUAAAGUCUCUCUGAGCCGAAAGGGAUCGCUGUAGGCGCUGCUACAGAGAAUGUGCAUGAGGUCACGUGUUACUGGAGUAAAGAAUGAUGACGCUCAAACUCAGUAGACCAAUGCAAAGUUCAAACCAAAACAAUCAUAAGACAUACGAAGUUGUCGAUUGUGAUAGUGAAGAUGUUUUUAUUAUUUCUGCACCACCGUGAGUGUUGGCUAUAAAUACACAAAAUAGAAUUGAGGAACAUGAACCAGAAUUAUAACAGCCUGAUAGUUUACGAGUAGCCUAACUUAUUUCGUUCCAUGUCAAUCCAUGAGAAAAAAAAGAUUAAAAAAAAUAGCCAUAGCUAGGCUACACGUGUUUUUUUUUAUCGUUUUACAUAUUGAAUAUAUUGCAUAUAACACAAAAAAGCAUAUGCCAUAUAAAAUUCUUAACUUAUUAUUAUUAGCCUAUUAUUGUUAUUGUUUUUUGAUGAAACAUGGUGGAAGUGACCAUUAGUCAGCUUUAAAUAGCGUACUAGUUUCCAAAGGAUACCCGUGGCAUUUAAAUGACGUCAAUAUUCAUUGAUAGAGUAUUAUCGGCAGUAAUGAGUUCCUCUUCACCAAUAGGAUUCGAUAAGCAGUCUAUUUAGCCAUAGUGGAGGGGUGAAUGAAAGAAAGCAUGGAAAGAGAAAUGCAGCAGUCACAUUCUUCACGCGCUGGCAGAAAGUGAAGCUCUCUUGCCAUCCCAUUGGUCAGUGCUGUGCCACGCCCACUGUCCAUCCAGACAGUUGGUUCCCGGGCCUGAGUCGUUUAGAGGCCUCCGACUGCAGGGUGCAUUGGGCUUAGCAGAGAUGACAGAGAGGCUGAGGCAGAGUGUAACGGGAGCUUCACCGCUGCAGCCCUGCUCUGGGCUUCCAACCGACAGUGGAGCACCGUGAGAAAGAGAGACGGAGAGAGAGAGAAACAGAAGGAAAGUAGACCUCAGAGCUGCGACUCUUGUUCUGUAAAGCGCACAUCAUUAAAUGAUAUAAUGUUACUGUCAGUGUGUCAUGCAAUAGUGUCAACGAAAAAACUUUACAAGACUGGUGCCAAAAAUUAAGAGAUUGAGAGCGAGAGACAAACAGGACCUUGCCAAUCAUUCAUCAUUGUCUCACUUCCUCUCUCUCCUCUCUUCACAGACUCGCUCUUUUUAUGUGCUCUACCCAGAAUUCCUUGUGACAUUUGUUGUGUGGAGAUUACUCACUGGCCCGUAGCCUAGUGUAGCACAACAGUGAUGGUUUUAAAGACACCGAGUUGGAGCUGUCCCAGCCUCGACACCUCACCCACAAACUGUGCCUCCUGUCAACCCCCACGGGCACCUAUUGUGGUGAAUCAGUGACCGUGCCAUUCCUCCUUUCUGCUCUUCACCAACAAAUGAUAAACUAAGUGGGGAAAAAAAGACAGAAUGGAAUGAAGAAGAAAAGAAGAUCCAGAGCAUGUUGCCUUUUGGCUGGAGUCGUUCAAGACAAUGCAAGUGCUGGACCAUCAUUUUCAAAUGCACUGAACAAAUGCAAUAGAGUACUGACAGGUUUCAUCAGACAAACAAUUCAUUAUUGUAAUUUUUUGCCACACCCUGGUUUAUAUGGAAAACGAAUGUUUCAAUAGAAGAGCAAUAUAACAUAAUAAUACCUAAAUAUUAUAAAAUAGAUAUGGCAUACAACAAUUAAUACACAAAUUA